CAACCUGACUUUCUCUCAGGGGUCUCAGGCUGCCAAGGCCUAAGUUCCCCCCAAACUCGAGGAGGGAGGGAAAAGGGUUUAGAUAGAGACAGGGAUCCCUUUUUCCCCACUUUCCUUUCUCAUUCAUUCUACUUAUUCUUUGUAUUACCCUGAUUGAGUUGACAUUAAAAGUUAUCUCUUCCCCAAGCUGUGAACAAGUGUGAGUGAACAGAUCAAGGGGAGACCCUUUGGUCUUGAGUAGUGGAGGGGGCACAAGAGGGACAAGAGUGAAUCUGGGAGAACAGCCUUAGCUAAGGAGGGAAGGGCAAAGGGGGAAAAAUCUUCAAACCCCCUCUGCUCUUUCUGAGCCAAUGCCUAAACAUCAGCAGUCUCCCUGAACCUUGCUUUGAGAAAGGAAGGUUCUACUAUCUUUUCUCUUCUCAAUACUGAAAGACUGAACUCCUCGAUUACAACUAAACCACCCCUCAAAUACAAGUCUGGAGUGAAACUGAACACCUUGGGAAAACUAGGAAGGUUUCUGACUUCCCUGGCCUCAGCCUUACCACUCUAGGCCUUCGUGGCAAAAACAGAGCUCUUGAAAACCUCCCCCAACGCAGAACUAGGACUGAAGUAGUGAACACCAUAGAGUCUGUUGGCUCUGAUCCCUGAAGCAGAAGCUCAAGCCUCCUUGCUAGCAAAAGAGAGACUUCAGAGGACCAAAGGGUAUGCACUAGACUAAACUCAAGCCUCAAACAAGGGGUCAGAAGGUCUAAGUAACUAGGAUUAAGGAUCUUCUCUGUUCCAGGAGCAUACCUUCUUCAAAGAUAAUGAAGAAAUAGAAUAAAUAGCCACAAUUACAAAAAAUUAUAAAGCAAGUGACUUCACAAGGCAUCAGGACACUAUAAACCAAAAUCAAAAGAAUGAAAAAAUUGAGGAAAAAAUGAAGCACCUCAUUCACAAAACAGAAAAUGUAGAAAAAUUGUUCCAAGAGAGACAACUGAAGAAUUAUUGCUCUACCAGAAAACCAUGACAAAAGAAAAAGCCUAGACAUCAUACUACAAGAAAUUAUCCAAGAAAACUUCCCCAAUAUUCUAGAACAAGAGGGAAAAGUGGAGAUUGAAAGAAUCCAUAGAUCACCUUCUAUACUCAGUUCCCAACUGACAACAUCCAGGAAUGUUAUAACCAAAUUCAAGAACUAUCAGACCAAGGAAAAAAUAUUACAAGCUGCUAAGAAGUCAUUCUGAUACCAUGGAACCACAGUGAGGAUAACAUAGGAUCUGGCUGCAUCUACCUUGAAGUACCAAAAGGCAUGGAAUAUGAUAUUCUGAAAAGCAAGGGAACUAGGUCUACAACCAAGAAUCAACUACCCAGCAAAGCUGACUAUAUUAUUAUGGGGGAAAUUAUGAUCAUUUAAUAAAAUAGAAGAAUUCCAAGCAUUUGUAAAUAAAAGACCAGACCUGAACAGAAAAUUUGAUGCCCAAGCACAGAACUCAAGAGAAUCAUCAAAAGAAGCAGCAGAUGGACAAGAGGAGUGACAUGGACCUUAAAUUCCACACGUGCAAAUUUGAAAUCACAUGGAUCAAAUUCUUUCCAUGGCUUCUACAUCCCCUAAAAGUAGAGUACCAUAUGCUGCAUAGCUACAUAAUAUGAGAUGUCUGUUUAUAGUAACAAGAAAAUGUAAGGUAUUUAAUUUUGUAUCUUGUAGACAGAAUAUCUAGGAAAGCACUCGCUUUCAUUUUUCUACCCAUGCAACAACAUUCUGUAGCCUUUUCCUCAGUUCAUACGCUUUUAUGUCACAAUCAUCUGGAAUAAUUAUUGGAGAUGCUUCUCAUUUUGGAUUUUGUCUGAAGAAUAAAAUAUACCAAAAUAUUUGGGGAGAAGAUUUUUCCAAUAUCAUGGAUGGCACAUUGACAACGUCCUCAUUACUCUUGAAACAGUAAUCUUGGGGGGGUCAUUCUCCCCAUUUCCCACUUUAGAACACUAGAGAUAUCACUGCUGUUCUUAAAGGGGUGACUAUGACAUAACUACAGAACAGAUCUCUAGGCACCUUGCCCAUAGAAACCAGCGCCAGAUGUUAUCUGCACUAUAUUCACUCUUGACUCUUAUUUGAACUGAGACAUCUGGCACUGGGUACUAUUAUUGAUUGAGGCAACUCUGCUUUUUCAACACACUUAAAAAUCUGGCUUACCUUGAAUCUCUCUUAACAUAUCUUGAAAUUAUCAACAUACCCCAAAGAUAUGAUGGAUUCCAUUCGAGAUUACUGCAAUAAAGUGAAUAUUGUGAUAAGACUGAAUCCUGACCUCUAAAAAAGAAGAAGAAUUCAAUAAAAAUCAUCCUCGAACAGUAACUACAACUGAAACUGCACACUACGUUCUACCUCAGGAGUAUCGCAUAUUUGCUGUGAAGUGGAAAGUGCCACAUAUCCUUAGAUAUCACAUAUCUACCUGGAACAGAGAAAGAUUGUUUUUCCAAACAGUUGUGUCUGCAUUUUAAAGCCAACUUGAUAAUGACACAAGGGAUCUUUAUGGAGCAGUCAUGCAUCUUCACGAAGAACCAGAGACCAGACUAUAGAAGAGAUGUGCUGUGGGGACCCUAUUUGUACAGUGUGCAUCAUUUUGUACAUUCUGUGCCGUGAAUAACAGACAUACCUGGCAUCAUUUUUCUUGA